rnacentral:misc_RNA from 1 species
UUUCCGUAGGUGAACCUGCGGAAGGAUCAUUCAUAAUAAAGGGUUUUAUGGCACUUUUUAAAAAUCCAUAUCCACCUUGUGUGCAAUGUUAGAUCUCGUCAAUCUUGGCGAGAUUUUUAUACAUCAACUCAUUCUUUAACUAAUUUGUCUGAAAAAUAUUAUGAAUACUUAAUUCAAAAUACAACUUUCAACAACGGAUCUCUUGGCUCUC